UAGAACGAGGGAACGAGACAACGAGCUGCACGUGAACGAGACAGGAGUAGAAGGAGAGUGCUGAUUGGAGGAGACACAAGGAUCAGGGCAAAACCCAGGUGUUACUAAUGAAGGGACACAAGGAGCAGAGGAGAAAACACGUCAAGAACAUUUUUAUUCACGUUAGAAGUCAGCAAGGAGUGGCUUGAUGGAUCAAUAUCUAUCGCUAGCUCUACCUGAAGUGCCUCAACUGGGCACGCACAGCGCUUUGACACCGCCAGCACAUUUACCUUCUGAUGACGCAGCAUUAGGAGCAACCGGGGGUUCAGCGUCUUGCCAAGGAUACUUCGCCAGGAUCACGGGAAGAUGGACGAUCGAACCGCCAACCUUCAGGUUGGGAGACGUCCACGCUGCCACCUACCGCCGCCGCGCUGUGUUCUAUGCCCAUAUAACGAUGGAAACUGCCAAAAGAAAGAUUAGACUCCUGUAGUAAUCAGCAGUGGGUAAGUUUCAGGAAAAUAUCAGUUCCUGACUAAAAAAGCAAGAAAACCAGCUUUUUGUGAAAAUACACAUUUCAAGCAUAACUUUCACUUUGACACAAAUAUCUAAACAACUAUACCAACAUAAACAACACAAAACAGGGGUUGUUUUACAUCAAAAUAACAAUUUAUUUACAAAUAUAACAACAUGGGCUUUUUACAAUAGCUCUCUCACGUCCGCCUUCCUGCCAUGUGUGAUUUUACCGUCCACACGACCCCUGCCGAGCUCUUAUCAAACGCACUUCUGCCAUCUUGUGGCCAUUUUUAUGGCUUAAAAUUGCAUUGCAUUCGUGGAGAGCUGCAUCAUCACCUCUUUUUGCUGCUUGUGCAAAAAAACGUAAAAGAUGUAAAUACGUUGUUGGGAUGGGGCGUUCAGGUUUAUAAAAACGUAUAACUGCUGUACAUCUUUGGUAUUGAAUGAGUUAAAAAUAAGGUUAAUAACUUUUUUUCUCGUUAGAAUACAUCUUGUUUCCCUUAAUGUUUUGACUUUAUUCUUGUAAAAUUACAGCUGUUUUUUUCAUUUCUACUGUUGUUUUUUUUCCCCAUCUUUUUCAACUUUUUUUCUGUAAAUGUUUUUCUCUUUACUACGACUUUAUUCUCGUAAUAUUUGGACUUUGUUCUCGUAUCAUCAUAACUUCUUCCGCAACCUAAUUUUCCCAAAAAAUGCCAACUUUAUUUUCUCUUUUUUUUGUACUAGGGAUGCUCCCAUCAGGGUUUAUGCUGCUGAUUCCGAUACGAAUCAUCCAGGACUGAAAUUGUCCGAUACCGAUCACAUGGAUUAAUGAUACAUUUUCCAUUUAUUUAUAAUGAGUGCCAUUGGCCAGGGGUGU